AUUGAACGCUGGCGGCAUGCCUUACACAUGCAAGUCGAACGGCAGCACGGGAGCAAUCCUGGUGGCGAGUGGCGAACGGGUGAGGUAAUGUAUCGGAACGUACCUUUCAGUGGGGGAUAACGUAGCGAAAGUUACGCUAAGUACCGCAUAUUCUGUGAGCAGGAAAGCAGGGGAUCGCAAGACCUUGCGCUGAUUGAGCGGCCGAUAUCAGAUUAGCUAGUUGGUGAGGUAAAGGCUCACCAAGGCGACGAUCUGUAGCGGGUCUGAGAGGAUGAUCCGCCACACGUGGAACUGAGACACGGUCCAGACUCCUACGGGAGGCAGCAGUGGGGAAUUUUGGACAAUGGGUCGCAAGCCUGAUCCAGCCAUGCCGCGUGAGUGAAGAAGGCC
rnacentral:rRNA from 1 species